GGGACAGAGGUGACAGGUGGUGCAUGGUUGUCGUCAGCUCGUGUCGUGAGAUGUUGGGUUAAGUCCCGCAACGAGCGCAACCCUUAUCUUCAGUAGCCAGCAAUUCGGUUGGGCACUCUGGAGAGACUGCCAGGGAUAACCUGGAGGAAGGUGGGGAUGACGUCAAAUCAUCAUGCCCCUUAUGAUUUGGGCUACACACGUGCUACAAUGGCGUAAACAAAGGGAAGCAGCCCUGUGAAGGUGAGCAAAUCCCAAAAAUAACGUCUCAGUUCGGAUUGUAGUCUGCAACUCGACUACAUGAAGCUGGAAUCGCUAGUAAUCGCGAAUCAGAAUGUCGCGGUGAAUACGUUCCCGGGUCAUGUACACACCGCCCGUCACACCAUGGGAGUCGGAAAUGCCCGAAGUCAGUGACCCAACCGUAAGGAGGGAGCUGCCGAAGGUGGAGCCGGUAACUGGGGUGAAGUCGUAACAAGGUAGCCGUAUCGGAAGGUGCGGCUGGAUCACCUC
rnacentral:rRNA from 1 species